UCCAACCCAGGAGUCAAACUGGGGUCUCCUGCAUUGCAGGUGGUUUCUUUACCAGCAGAGCUACCAGGGAAGCCCAAAACAGUUGUAUUAUUUGACUAUGUGCCAGGCACUGUGCUAAGAAUUUUCCUUGUAUGUUCGUUUAUUCUUUUACCAACUCAAAGAGUUUGGUGCUCUCAUUCUCAUUUUAAGAUGAGGAAGUCUAGGUGUCUUGCUUAAUGAUUUCAUGGCUAGUAUGUGGCAGAGCUGAGAGCUGAAAAUAGGCAGACUGACUCCAGAGUUUGCGUAUCCCUUGAUUUGGAGAACAGGCUGACAGCUUGCUCAGUGUCUUUAGCUGAAAUGAUGCUGUGAAAAUUGUCCUGGUAGCUGGAGGGAAUUUUAGGAAUCAGUAUUAGGAGAUGAUUUGUAAAUGAUAACUCUUUUAGGGCUUCCCUGGUGGCUUAGCUGGUAAAGAAUCUGCCUGUAAUGUGGGAGACCUGGAUUUGAUCCCUGGAUUGGGAAGAUCCCCUAGAGAAGGGAAUGGCUACCCACUCCAGUAUUCUGAUGUGGAGCAUUCCCAAGACUAUAUAGUUCCUUGGGGUCACACAGAGUUGGACAUGACUGAGCAACUUUCACUAUUUUAAGAUCCACAUCUAAAUUUUUUGGUCUGUAGUUUAAUAGUGAUUCCAAAGGAGGGGAAACCCUUUCUGGAACCCAGUCUAGAGUCGUGACAGAGGUGGCAGUGAUCAUGAAAGUAGGGAACCUGGAGGAGCAGAGGACCCCCAUUAGAGGUCUGCACUUGGAAACCAAAGAAGCUAAGAGAGAAGGAAGUGAGAAGCAGCUCUGGAGGACUGGAGUGGACUCUGUCUCACUCUCCACUCUAGUUAGCAUAUGUUGGAAGCCCUAUACUUGAAACUGUAGUCCGGAGUUUUGUUCGCUGCCACCUUGACUACCAGGUUCUUGUGUGUUCCACAGAAUAGCUGUGGGCACAGCAAAAGAACAUUCAUCCUGCGUGCCCCAAAAGCUUUAGUGCUGCCAGUCUUGGGCCCCCCAAAUGUCCCUGUUCCACAGGAGAGGUUGGAGAAGAGGAACCAGAAAUAAGGGUCGUAACAGUAACCCUCAUGUGCCAAGGUCCCUGUGAAGCAAUGAGGUGUUAAAGUUGCAGGGGGUUUAAGGACACAGGGUGGGUUUCAAACUAUUCAGGAACAGAUCACACCGGGAAUAAUUCUUAGGAAUCAGGUACCUAGGAGUCAUUCUGACCAGGGGUUGGCCCCUCUUUCUUACCAAAUCAUAGUCCUUUCUUUUAUACAGAGGCUUCACAGUGUUCAUCAACACCUAGACACUUAGGGAUGGAAAGGGGAUUGGGGUUUUAUAGUCUUACAUGUUUCCAGAACACUUCUGUAAUCAGUACAACCCAGAUGUUCAAACAACUGAGUCAUUUUGGCAAUUCUUGCUUGUUUUCUCCAACCCUCCAGAAAACCACUUAGCUGGUAAACUCAUUGUCUUUCCUUACUUGAAAAUUUCAAAAGCAUCCUUAAUGUAUUUAUUAAACCUGUUAACACUUAACAGCUACUUUAAACUGGAGCAUAUCAAAGUUUUUUUUCUCAAGUUUAUCUGCCCUCAAAUGGAAAUUUUCUAAUCCAUGAUGGUGGUUGGGUGGUAUUCUAGCCUGAGUUACACAAUUUAAAAUGUAAUUCUCAACCACAGGAAAGUUAGCAACCUUGUUUUAUGGAAAGUUCUUGUUGAUGAUAUGGGAGGCAGUGCAAUAUUUUAGUAAUACAAAUGUUUCAAGUCAAAUGCCAUCGCAUAUGUUGGUGUCUUACACUUCAAAAAUAGUUUUUUGAAAAAAAUGUAGUCUACAUGUUACCAGUAUAAAACAAGAAACUAAAGCAAUUCUAGUUUCUUCCAACAAAACCUUGAUCCCACACCAGUCCUCCAGCCAAAGUAGAUGAGCCAGAAGUAUGAAAGGCAACAGUUGCUCUGCUAGAAGUGAGGCAAUCAAAAACAUCCAGAAUGUUCUGUGUGAUGAUGGUGUGCGCCUUUCCAACCCAGAAUAAUGGUUGUGUGUAGUCAUUGAGCUUUCACCUUGUGUUAUUGCUCAAGUCUGGCUCUAUCUAAGUGAACAGUGGAUAAUAAUUAAUAAACAGUCAUGUCAGACACUGUUUGAGUUUCUGACAUGCUCUGUUGCUCGGUAGUGUCUGACUCUUUGCAACCCCAUGGACUGUAUCCCACCAGGCUCCUGCACGCAUAGGAUUUCCCAGGCAAGAAUACUGGAGUAGGGUGCCAUUUCCUACUCCAGGGGAUCUUGCCAACCCAGGGAUCAAACCCCUGUCUCUUGCAUCUCCUACAUUGGCAGACAUUCUUUACCACAAGCGCCACCUGAGCCCAAAGCUCCUGACAAUGUCCACUCAUUUAAUCACAACCAUAGGAAGAAGCUGGCAUUGGACAUAAUCGUCACAGUUUUUAUUUGUGUCACCGCCAUACUCAUCUCUUCCAGGAGACCUGUGUGUUCUUACUGAGGUUACCAAUCCUAGAAUACUGCUUGAAGGGAACUUAGAUAGUAGUUAUAAUAGUAUGCAUGUGCAUGUACACACACGUUUGUAUGAAUACCUUCAAGAGAGAAAGCAGACAUCGCAGUAGAUUUUAUAAUCCUGUCAGAAUGGGAAGAGAGACCUUGCCACCGUUUGAUUUGGUAAAAAUCUGUAUUUAAACACUGUUACCACCUUGCUUUCCCAUCUUUAUAUGAGGCGAUGUUCAUAUUGUCUUCCCAGAAUACGAUACACACACACCUUUUCCGCAAUCACGUAUGCAUGUUGCAGUUCAUCAGUACGUAGGUGGUUUAUGCGCACUUGUCUCUGUGCAGGUUUAGCUACCAGCACCUCUCUCUCUGACUUAAAGUUUGUAAGCCUUUGCUGAAAUGAAGUUGGUCUGGAGGUGAAAUUUGCGGUGCAGCUCGUUUACAUGCAUAUAAAUACAUCUAAAGUGGAUGUGCCUGUGUAAAGUCACGGAUACCAGAGGCCUUACCGUGUGUGCUGGUCAGACGCUGAGCUGCACGAGAGUGAGAGGCCACAAGAUGGCAAGCUAACACUGGAAAGCACGUGUGCAGUUAGGGUCCCAAAACUGAACGAGAAAUUACAUUUUCAUUGUUUUUAUUUCUUUUUAUUUCUACUUUGUAAAGGGCGUGGGCUGAUAUGUGGUGGUCAUUUACAUUUUUGAAUACUUACGAUUGGAAUAACUAUUGAAACAGUUUUAAAAAUUGGGAGUGACUAUAAUAGAUUGGCUGUUGAUUCAUUUUAGGAUAAGUAGGCCACGGUUUACAGUAGAAACAGACUAGAGUCACCUUGCAUGGAUUAUGCGUAUUUUUAACUUUUCCCAGAGUACCAGUCAAAAAGUCUUGUUUUGAUAAAAAGAUCGUGCUUCGUGUAUAUGUAAGGGAGACUUGGAAAUGGCAACUGAGCAUGUUGCCAUUCCCAACAAAAUCAGAAUCAUCAAAAUCAGAAUUCGUUGCCUAACAAAGUAGAAAAACAAAAAUAACUGGAUGUAGCACAGUUUGUUACAUGGAAUACCAACAUUCCAAAGAUCUUUGAAACUUUGUACAGGAAGAUUCUGGAAGGCUAGAUUUGGAGUUUUAAAAAAUCGAAUUCUUGCUCUGUCAUUUCAUUUAACAUUAGGCAAGUCACUUUAUAAUUCUGAGUUGUCAUUUUUUCAUUUGUAAGUAUUUUUAAGAUUUCCUCUGAUUCCAGAAUGCUAUAAUUUUUUUUUUUAGUUUAUACAAUGUAGAUAUGCUGUGAAUUUCAUGAAUACAUUAAUUGAUGCCAGCAACUACUAUGGAUUAAGCCCUUAAGAACAUUAGAUCUCCAUAGCGGGGGAAGGAUCUAAUACUUCACCUAGUCAGAAAGUUGUUUACUAGACCCUCUGGCACAAGAAGGACUUCCCUGGUGGCUCAGAAGGUAAAGAAUCUGCCUGCAAUGCAGGCGACCUGGGUUAGAUCCCUGGGUUGGGAAGAUCCCCUGGAGAAGGCAAUGGCUGCCCACACCAGUAUUCUUGCCUGGAGAAUUCCAUGGACAGAGGAGCUUGGCAGGCAGGAUAGCUCUGUGGAAAAUUCUCAGAACUCACCACAAUCACCAAUACCUUUUAUAGCUGAAGGAAGAUUUGCUUUGGAGAGAAGACCCAAAUUUAUACUGAAGAAAGCUGCUGGCAGGUCUCUUCCACACCUCCCUUGGGCCUCUUGUUUAUGCUGUCAUACUAAAUAUACAAAUAAAAUGUAAACUACGGAUGAAUUCAAUCAGUGUUUAUGGAAAGUGUUACAUACCUGUGAUGGGAUAUGAGCUAGAAAUAUUUUGAGAUGGGGCUCUUUGGGGUUUUCAAUUGCUUUGCUUAUUAAAAACUUAAAAGCAAAAGUACAUGCCAAACAAUGAAAAGAUUUAUAAAGAAAAAGUUCAUCUCUCCUCUUAUUGUGACCGUGUUGACAUCCUUCUCGUUCUUUCUUCCUAUUGACAAAAAUUCUAUACAUACAUGUGUCAAAGUUAGAAUGCUUGAAGCCUAAAAAGGAAAGGCUGAUACGAGUCAUACCUCUUUUUUCUAGUAUACAGGGAAGAAGUUUUUGAAGAACAUGAAUUUUAUUAGGACUCUUUUAGUUGCAAGAUCUAGAAACUUAAUUUAAACCAAUUUAAACAAAAAUGGGGUCUUACCUUCCAUGUAAGUAAACUAGAAAGGGUAGGGUGGAGCCAGUGUCAGGGACAGCAGGAUUGAAGAAUCAACAUCCUCAGGUCUUUGCCUUUCCCCCACCUCCUCUCGAGUCUGCAGUCUGUCUGAAGAAAGCUGGCUUAAUUUCCUUGGAAAGACGGGAACCAUAACCACUUGCAUGCCUAGACAUUCUUUCAUCCAAGAACUUGAAAAAAAAAUUUUUUUUCCCUCCAGCUCCAAUUAGAAGAAACCCUGUGGCCAGGGGCAAAAUCUGUAACCAGAAAGAUUUUUGCAGAAAAGUACAAGGAAGACAAAAUCGUUGCAAAUCAAGAAUGAAAGUGAAAAGUGUUAGUUGCUCAGUUGCAUCCAACUCUUUCGGACCCCAUGGAUUGUAGCCUGCCAGGCUCCUCUGUCUGUGGAAUUAUCCCAGGCAAGAAUACUGGAGUGGGUAGCCAUUCCCUUCUCCAGAGGAUCUUCGAAAUCCAGGGAUUGAACCCACAUCUCCUGCAUCAUAGGCAUAUUAUUUACCUUCUGAGUCACCAAGAAAUGGCUUGAAUUAAAUCUGUUUACUGAUCUGGAAGCCUGGUGUGGUGAGCAGGUGGUUUAAGGGAGACCUAUGGAGAAGGCAAUGGCACCCCACUCCAGUACUUUUGCCUGGAAAAUCCCAUGGAUGGAGGAGCCUGGUAGGUAGGCUGCAGUCCAUGGGGUUGCUAAGAGUCGGACACGCCUGAGCGA